CGAACAAUAUGUUUGGACGGCAGCGCAAAAUAAACCACUUUAAAUAAUACCGACGACGUACAAAGUGUUGAAUGACUGCUUCGCUGUAUCAACUUGGAUAUUUAAUUUACUUUACAUUGGAUAUACGAAAUUAACACGGUCAAGAGGUAACGAAGUAUUGUGAUGCAAACGAGCAGCUAGGCAUAUUAGCACGAGGAGUAGACAAAGUCGACUCAUUGUUUGAAUGACUGCUUUGGUGGAGCAAAGUAGAUACGUUUUUCUUUGGACUUCGGUGAAUAUUCUUUUUGUUUAUCAGCAGAAAAAAAAUCUUACUGUUUCCUAAUGCAUAUUAAUUAACAUUAUUAAAAACAUGUCUCAAAAUUAUUUCACAACCCCAGUCUACACCUGUGAGUUUUGUUAUAAGACUUAUGGAUCAAAACGGUAAUUACUCGGACAUCAAUCCAAUUGUGGACCUUUAGAAUAGAGUUUUUCAUGUGAUCAAUGUCUAAAAACCUUUAAACGUCAGGAUUGUUUAAAGUUACACAUGGAAACAUAUCAUCUAAACGAUAGAGAUAGUUUGACGUGUCAGACAUGUAGUCUGGUUCUACCAUCCUUUGACCAGUACAGAAAACAUAUUUCUACUUGUCAAGCCUCUGAUAUUCAAUCUUCCACCUCUUCCCAUCAGUCUCAAUUUUUCACAUGUGCAUGUGAAAAAAACAAAAACAAUUUCCAUCUGUCAAAGUACUCACGACACACACAAAACAUAAGCAUC